rnacentral:rRNA from 1 species
UACGUAGGGUGCGAGCGUUGUCCGGAAUUACUGGGCGUAAAGAGCUCGUAGGUGGUUUGUCGCGUUGUUCGUGAAAACUCACAGCUUAACUGUGGGCGUGCGGGCGAUACGGGCAGACUGGAGUACUGCAGGGGAGACUGGAAUUCCUGGUGUAGCGGUGGAAUGCGCAGAUAUCAGGAGGAACACCGGUGGCGAAGGCGGGUCUCUGGGCAGUAACUGACGCUGAGGAGCGAAAGCAUGGGGAGCGAACAGGA